AGCGAACGCUGGCGGCAGGCCUAACACAUGCAAGUCGAGCGCCCCGCAAGGGGAGCGGCAGACGGGAUAGUAACACGUGGGAACGUACCCUUCAGUUCGGAACAACCAAGGGAAACUUUGGCUAAUACCGAAUACGUCCGUAAGGAGAAAGAUUUAUCGCUGAAGGAUCGGCCCGCGUCUGAUUAGCUAGUUGGUGAGGUAAUGGCUCACCAAGGCGACGAUCAGUAGCUGGUCUGAGAGGAUGAUCAGCAUCACUGGGACUGAGACACGGCCCAGACUCCUACGGGAGGCAGCAGUGGGGAAUAUUGGACAAUGGGGGCAACCCUGAUCCAGCAAUGCCGCGUGAGUGAUGAAGGCCUUCGGGUUGUAAAGCUCUUUUGCCAGGGACGAUGAUGACGGUACCUGGAGAAUAAGCCCCGGCUAACUUCGUGCCAGCCGCCGCUGUAA
rnacentral:rRNA from 1 species